rnacentral:lncRNA from 1 species
UUAUUACGUCACUAUGACGAUGACGUAAACAAGAAAAUGCAUAGCAAAAGGAUUUUCUGUUUUCACGAAGUGACGGCCAAGUACGCGCUUAACAGCCGUCAAUUCGUGAAAACAUCGUUUGCUCUUUUCCUGCUUUUAAUAUUUUCACGAAGUGACGGUAGUGAAAAUUUCGCAGUUUGGAACAGUCACAGACCAUGAAAAGUUUCAGAUGCAGUAGAUACAAUUUGCACUUAUAUGAAGGAAGCACUGGGAAAGUACAUCUACUUUUCAAGAAUGCCACAGGCCAGACACAAAUCCAGAUUGGAUACAGGGACCGACAUGCUGGUAAGAUGGGUCCUUGAUAAUUCACUGAACACAGAGCUGCAGAUGUGACUCGGCAUAGUGACCUAAGAGUGGGAGCGGUAUGGAACCGUUGAAGCAAUUCACCGAACACUGUUGAAGCAAUUCACCGAACACAGUCAGAGCUGCAUGUGUGACUUGGCAUGGUGACCCUUAAAGUCUCCUGACGGCUCCGAUUGCGAUUCUGAUGAUGACCCAUUGUCUAUGCUUGUGAGCGAGUCAAAAGUCUAGAUCAAGGAUCUUCUCUGCUUCAC